GACGAACGCUGGCGGCGUGCUUAACACAUGCAAGUCGAGCGGAAAGGCCCUUUCGGGGGUACUCGAGCGGCGAACGGGUGAGUAACACGUGAGUAAUCUGCCCUUCACUCUGGGAUAGCCACCGGAAACGGUGAUUAAUACCGGAUACGACACGUCCAGGCCUCUGGUGCGUGUGGAAACUUUUUGGGUGGGGGAUGUGCUCGCGGCCUAUCAGCUUGUUGGUGGGGUAAUGGCCUACCAAGGCUUCGACGGGUAGCCGGCAUGAAAGGGUGACCGGCCACACUGGGACUGAGACACGGCCCAGACUCCUACGGGAGGCAGCAGUGGGGAAUAUUGGACAAUGGGCGGAAGCCUGAUCCAGCAACGCCGCGUGAGGGAUGACGGCCUUCGGGUUGUAAACCUCUUUCAGCACCGACGAAGCGAUUCUUUGUGGGGAGUGACGGUAGGUGCAGAAGAAGGACCGGCCAACUACGUGCCAGCAGCCGCGGUAACAC
rnacentral:rRNA from 1 species